rnacentral:rRNA from 1 species
GACGAACGCUGGCGGCGUGCUUAACACAUGCAAGUCGAACGGUGAAGCGAGUGCUUGCACUCGUGGAUCAGUGGCGAACGGGUGAGUAACACGUGAGUAACCUGCCCAUCACUCUGGGAUAAGCACUGGAAACGGUGUCUAAUACUGGAUACGACCAACCCUUGCAUGGGGUGGUGGGGGAAAGAUUGGUCGGUGAUGGAUGGACUCGCGGCCUAUCAGCUUGUUGGCGGGGUAAUGGCCCACCAAGGCGACGACGGGUAGCCGGCCUGAGAGGGUGACCGGCCACACUGGGACUGAGACACGGCCCAGACUCCUACGGGAGGCAGCAGUGGGGAAUAUUGCACAAUGGGCGAAAGCCUGAUGCAGCGACGCCGCGUGAGGGAUGACGGCCUUCGGGUUGUAAACCUCUUUCAGCAGGGAAGAAGCGAAAGUGACGGUAACUGCAGAAGAAGCACCGGCUAACUACGUG